CGCGUAGGCGGCCCCGUAAGUGGUGUGUGAAAUGCCCUGGCUCAACCAGGGAAUAGCGCUCCAAACUGCGGGGAUUGAGGACAGUAGAGGAAGCUGGAAUUCCAGGUGUAGCGGUGAAAUGCGUAGAUAUCUGGAGGAACACCGUUGGCGAAGGCGAGCUUCUGGGCUGUUCCUGACGCUGAAGCGCGAAAGCUGGGGAGCAAACA
rnacentral:rRNA from 1 species